AGAGUUUGAUCAUGGCUCAGGACGAACGGCUGGCGGCGUGCUUUAGACAUGCAAGUCGAACGAGAUCUUCGGAUCUAGUGGCGAACGGCGGAGUAAUACAUAAACAACGUGCCCUGAAGACUGGGAUAUACGGUCGAAAGGCCGAGCAAUACCGGAUGUGGCCGAGACUAGGCAUCUAGACUCGAUUAAAUGGUUUUCGCUUCAGGAGCGGUUUAUGACUCAUCAGCUAGUUGGUAGGGUAAUGGCCUACCAAGGCUACGACGGGUAGGGGGUCUGAGAGGAUGAUCCCCCCGAGUGGGACUGAGACACGGCCCACACACCUACGGGUGGCAGCAGUUUGGAAUCUUGCCCAAUGGGGAAACCCUGAGGCAGCGACGCCGCGUGGAGGAUGAAGGAUUUAGGUCUGUAAACUCCUUUUGCCAGGAAAGACUUAGGACGGUACCUGGCGAAUAAGCUCCGGCUAACUACGUG
rnacentral:rRNA from 1 species